rnacentral:tRNA from 1 species
GCUGACAUGGCGUAAUUGGUAGGCGCGAGAGAUUCAAAAUCUCUUACCGCAAGGUGUCUGGGUUCGACUCCCAGAACUCAGCACCA